rnacentral:rRNA from 1 species
UGGCUCAGGAUGAACGCUAGCGGCAGGCUUAAUACAUGCAAGUCGUGGGGCAGCGCAGUGUAGCAAUACAUGGGCGGCGACCGGCAAACGGGUGCGGAACACGUACACAACCUUCCUACAAGUGGGGAAUAGCCCAGAGAAAUUUGGAUUAAUACCCCGUAACAUAUAAAGAUGGCAUCAUUUUUAUAUUAUAGCUACGGCGCUUGUUGAUGGGUGUGCGGCUGAUUAGGUAGUUGGCGGGGUAAUGGCCCACCAAGCCUGCGAUCAGUAGCUGAUGUGAGAGCAUGAUCAGCCACACGGGCACUGAGACACGGGCCCGACUCCUACGGGAGGCAGCAGUAAGGAAUAUUGGACAAUGGGCGCAAGCCUGAUCCAGCCAUGCCGCGUGAAGGAUUAAGGUCCUCUGGAUUGUAAACUUCUUUUAUAAGGGACGAAAAAAGGGAAUUCUUUCUCACUUGACGGUACCUUAUGAAUAAGCACCGGCUAACUCCGUG